CCGCCUGCCCUGUGACUAACGUUUAACGGCCGCGGUACUCUGACCGUGCGAAGGUAGCGCAAUCACUUGUCUUUUAAAUGAAGACCUGUAUGAAUGGCACGACGAGGGCUAAACUGUCUCCUUUCUCAAGUCAAUGAAAUUGAUCUUCCCGUGCAGAAGCGGGAAUAACCCCAUAAGACGAGAAGACCCUAUGGAGCUUUAGACAUAAAACAGACCAUGUUAAGGAACCCUAAAAUAAUGGAAUGAACCUAGUGGCUACUGUCCAACUUGUCUUUGGUUGGGGCGACCACGGAGUAAAACAAAACCCCCGUGUGGUAUGGGGGCAACCCCCUCUCAGGUAAGAGUGACAACUCUAACUAACAGAAAUUCUGACCAAUAAUGAUCCGCUAAAGCGAUCAACGGACCGAGUUACCCUAGGGAUAACAGCGCAAUCCCCUUCUAGAGCCCAUAUCGACAAGGGGGUUUACGACCUCGAUGUUGGAUCAGGACAUCCUAAUGGCGCAGCCGCUAUUAAGGGUUCGUUUGUUCAACGAUUAAAGUCCU
rnacentral:rRNA from 1 species